UGUAUAAGAUAGAGAUACGUCAUAGGCGUACACAAAACGUAUAUUUAUAUGCGCGAUGUGGCACAAUAGAUGACGGUGUCUUUAAGACUCACGUUACAUAAAUUUACGACACAGGAGGUGGCUGGUCGCAGGACGAUAUAUGUAUAUCUAUAUACGCAUCACGGAUCCUUGCACCUUACGCAUACCUUUCUGCCACGUAUUUAUAUAUGUAUGUAUGUACUCAAAUACACAGGACGCAGCUGAAUUUUAGGUUACGAAGGAAUGCUGCUACUCUGGGGGCGGCGUCGUCGGAGAAAAUGGAAUGGGAGGAGAGCAGAGGGUAGUUUUUGCUUCUUUCCGAGGCGACAACCGAGACGCGAAAAUCGGGGAUACCCGAAGUCGGAGCAGCGAAGUGUGAACGCGAUACCAGAACGUACGCCGCAGGCAGGCGGCUACACGCGGGGCGGGACGCUCGGCGUCGCAGCAGCCAUCAAGGAUCAACCGCCGUCCCGAGUACGCGACCGGUGCCCUUUCCUUCGGGGGUAACAAAUGCAGGGUUCAAACUAGAUUCUCUUCGCCUCUGCAAUCGCGGGCCGCAAAGAGUCUGAGACACAAUGCUAACAAGGGCUACAGGUUGAUUUUUUACCUGCGCGUGUGUUCCCAUAAGGGCCGUGGGGGACCCCCUGGCCAUACCUGCACACCAACCGCCGCCUGAAGAGAGAUGAUAUUCGACCACCGGCAGCUGUCCGUAUCGAGUCUCAUUCUCUUAUGCGGCAGUAAACUACUGUCCGAGUUCAAUGCGGGUACAACCGAUUCAGCUUCGACAGGAGGCAUUCGGACGUUUAUGUCCACGUUUCGACGCACGUGCGAUAAGGAGCAUACUCGAGGUACUCCGCACGGUUAAUAAGAGGACAGCUUCUGCAGUGUGGACGUCUUGAUAUUUCGGCAGGUCGACGCACACCUAUACCUACAACAUACAUUGUGGAUAUAUCUAUAUCGCUGAGGGACCACGCGCCUACAACCGUAACACAAAUAAGAACCACUCGGAACUCGAGACAGUUAUCGCCCCGGCGAUGCCCAAUCAGGAAUCUACGCUCAUCCGGGGUUAAUUAAAAGAUGAUUACCUAAUGAGGAUCAUCGUAGGAACAUAAAAUCCCACGGGUCCUGAUACAGGGAACCGUGAAAUAACACAGCCCGGCCAUGGACUCGGAAUUAGGUAUACAUAUACUCAAAGUUUCAGAAUCGGAAAUCUGAUUGCGUCUGCAUGCGCGGUGCCAUUUUACUCACAUAUUUGGAUAAUGUACGC